rnacentral:snoRNA from 1 species
CCCCUCUCAAAACUGCACCUGGAGAGUUUCCGGUACUCUACCAGUUUCAGCUACAGGAGAGAGAGUUAAGCAGAGGCCUAACCAUUCCAUUCCUAGCUUGGGCAGUGGCUAGCAAGUGGAAGGCAAUCUGCUACAUUC